UAAAGAUUCAUCGCUGAUAGAUAGGCAUGCGUUCCAUUAGGCAGUUGGCGGGGUAACGGCCCACCAAACCGACGAUGGAUAGGGGUUCUGAGAGGAAGGUCCCCCACAUUGGUACUGAGACACGGACCAAACUCCUACGGGAGGCAGCAGUGAGGAAUAUUGGUCAAUGGGCGUAAGCCUGAACCAGCCAAGUCGCGUGAGGGAUGAAGGUUCUAUGGAUCGUAAACCUCUUUUAUAAGGGAAUAAAGUGUGGGACGUGUCCUAUUUUGUAUGUACCUUAUGAAUAAGGAUCGGCUAACUCCGUGCCAGCAGCCGCGGUAAUACGGAGGAUCCGAGCGUUAUCCGGAUUUAUUGGGUUUAAAGGGUGCGUAGGCGGCCUUUUAAGUCAGCGGUGAAAGUCUGUGGCUCAACCAUAGAAUUGCCGUUGAAACUGGGGGGCUUGAGUAUGUUUGAGGCAGGCGGAAUGCGUGGUGUAGCGGUGAAAUGCUUAGAUAUCACGCAGAACCCCGAUUGCGAAGGCAGCCUGCCAAGCCAUGACUGACGCUGAUGCACGAAAGCGUGGGGAUCAAACAGGAUUAGAUACCCUGGUAGUCCACGCAGUAAACGAUGAUCACUAGCUGUUUGCGAUACA
rnacentral:rRNA from 1 species